GAUCCAACGGCCGAGUGUCCUCUACGAUCUCAAAUUGUUUGCCAUUGAUCAUUUAGAUGGCUGAUUUGUUUAUUCUAAUGACUUGGUUAUAAUUGGCGUAAUUAUUUAUUAUUCUCUCUUUUUUUCCUCACCCCCAAAGCUGCCACCUUUACCAUUCCUCCUCCCCCGCCCCCGUUCCUACCAAAUCCCUCGCCGUUCCUCUCCCCGAUCGAUCUUGAUCGGUUUCUUCGAUUUUUAUGGAUCUCCACCGUCGCUUCCGUGGAAGCGCGUGAAAAAAAUUUGAGCUUGAUUUCAAGUUCCUCCUGCCGUUCAUCGUUCUUGUUUUCUCUUUAUUCAACCGAAGACUGAAUUCCCUCUUUUCUUGCUUCUUAAUCCAUCUCGUAACCUAUUUCUAUUAGGCUUUCCCUUGAGUUCUGCAAAAUUCCAGCUUUGGGUGAUUUGGGAAAUUUUCUGGUGUUGAUUCGUAGUCCUGCAAUCGUCGUUCGGCUUAGAUUAAUUGUUGCCUCUCUGCUCGUUGAUUCUUGUUGUCGGAUCGGAUUCCUUUUUGGAAUGGCUCGAGAAAGUUGUAAUCUUGACCAGGAUGAAGCAGAGAUCUUCAAGCCCUCAUCAUCUUCUACCCGUUCUGCUACGCCACCCUCCUCGCCAUCAUCAUCACCCCAGCCGCCACCUUCCUCCGCGCUUCCGAAAUCAUGCGAUGAAUCCACCAUUCACAGGCCGGAAUCUCCGGCCCCAGCGAUGACUGUCGCGGCUUCUUCCACGACAAAGCUCGACGAGGAGUCGUCAAAGCCCAGGGAGGAAUCCCCGACUCCUGUUAGAUUCAGUAACAGGUGCUCCACUUGCCGGAAAAAGGUGGGUCUCACCGGAUUCCGAUGCCGCUGCGGCGACCUCUUCUGCGGUCGCCACCGUUACUCCGAUGCCCACGAGUGUUCCUUCGAUUACAAGGCCUUAGGGAGAGAGGAGAUCGCCAGGGCCAACCCUGUGAUCAAAGCUGCCAAGAUCAUCAAGAUCUGAGGUAUAAAGUUAGCACCUUUUUUUUCUCGCUUGCUCAGAGCCGUAGGUAAAUUGGUUCUUGUUUGUUUGAGUGAUCUACACUGUUAAUUGAACAAUUAAAUAUGCAUCAUAUUGUCUGAAGUUGGCUGUCCAAUUAUUCUUAUGAUAGAACCUUUGAUUUUAAUCUCUAUGGUGUUUCAUUAUCAGCAACAUCAACAUAAACAGGUGAAGCAUAGAUUUUGUCUGUGUCAGUUCUUCUACUGGUUGGAAUCAGAAGUUUUCUCCAGAUGUUCAAUGGUAUGGAAUCUGAAUUAGGUGUUGAUUCAUUUCUUUUGUCACUGAGGUAAACUUGCAGUGUUAAGCUUUUCGUUAUCGACGUACAGAGAAAAAGAGUAGCCUUAGUUGGUAAAGAUGAACAUUCAUCUUGCAAUAAAUUCCUUCUCUAUAAUAUGCGGCUUCGGAUUAUCUGUAUGUUAUGAAAUAAUGCAGCAUGUCUGAAGCCAAUUCUCUAUAAUGUAGAUCAUCUCGAGUACUAACUAAAAGAAUUCAGUUAAAGUCAUGAUCUAAAAACGAUUAAUAUUGUAGUGGAUAUUAAGGAAAGCACAUGGAACACGAGUCUUUUGUUUCUUUUGGUGUUCGUGGCUAUCGCCGCUUUCGUUUGGUUGUCGUCAUUAGACCUAACUUUGCAUGAUUAGCUUUCAGAAAGAACCAAUCGGAUAGGUGGUUCGUCUUCCAUGUGCCAUUCUUAUAUUGUCGAUACUUAUCAAGUAAGUGGUUGACAAAUUUUUCUCUUGUCAUCUUUCUCUUUUAGUAAAACAAUAUAACACUCUGUCGACAUUUCACGCAUGAAAACUCUCCUUCAGAAUAGUUCACCAAAUUGGGUUCUACAUGUGCUGUAGUUUCUACAUGAGUUAUACGAAGUAUAGGAAGCUUUCUUUGAUACAUUGCUUACGAAGGGUCGAUGAACGUCAUCUUAUUCUUGCAAGUAGGCAGGUCUUGUAUCUGAUACUCAACCCUGGUCAUCGAGUCGUAAACAAGCAACUUUACCAUGACACCAAAGCUUGUCCUUUAAGAUCAAACAUCUCCGCAGCUUCGGAAUAGCAAAUCUCUGGAUGAUCAUAUGGCCAUGUUCAAUUUCUUCUGUAGAUGCUUUGUCAUUGUCAAGCUAAUAGGGUUAGGUAGCCAUUACAGCUUGUGGAAAGCCGACCUGGAAAUGACAUGCAAGUGGGCUCAAGCUUUCCGAUGCCACAAACACUAGCUUUCUGAAAGCAUGCUUCUGCAAGGGUGCCUCAAGACAUUGUUGCACUUGCAGCGUUUUGCCCCCAUGUCAACAACACAGUCCAAUUUGGAGGCUUCUCAUUUAAGCAGAUUGUUCAGUGCCACAGGGACCAGAUGGGCUUGAGUUUAAAUGUCUAUGGAUGGACUAAGUAAAUGAAUUUGGUACAACUUUCA